rnacentral:rRNA from 1 species
UGAACGCUGGCGGCAUGCUUUACACAUGCAAGUCGAACGGCAGCGCGGGGCAACCUGGCGGCGAGUGGCGAACGGGUGAGUAAUACAUCGGAACGUACCCAGAAGUGGGGGAUAACGUAGCGAAAGUUACGCUAAUACCGCAUACGUUCUACGGAAGAAAGCGGGGGAUCUUCGGACCUCGUGCUUUUGGAGCGGCCGAUGUCUGAUUAGCUAGUUGGUGAGGUAAAGGCUCACCAAGGCGACGAUCAGUAGCUGGUCUGAGAGGACGACCAGCCACACUGGGACUGAGACACGGCCCAGACUCCUACGGGAGGCAGCAGUGGGGAAUUUUGGACAAUGGGCGCAAGCCUGAUCCAGCAAUGCCGCGUGAGUGAAGAAGGCCUUCGGGUUGUAAAGCUCUUUUGUCAGGGAAGAAACGGCUGAGGUUAAUACCUUCGGCUAAUGACGGUACCUGAAGAAUAAGCACCGGCUAACUAC